rnacentral:rRNA from 1 species
UGGGGAUAUUGCACAAUGGGCGAAAGCCUGAUGCAGCGACGCCGCGUGGGGGAUGAAGGCCUUCGGGUUGUAAACUUCUUUUGCUCUGAACAAGGCAUGCCUUUGGGGUGGGUUGAGUGGAGGGGGUGAUUAGCGCCGGCUAACUACGUGCCAGCAGCCGCGGUAAUACGUAGGGGGCGAGCGUUGUCCGGAAUUAUUGGGCGGAAAGGGCUUGUAGGUGGGUGGUUGCGUCUGUCGUGAAAGCUCAUGGCUUAACUGUGGGUUUGCGGUGGGUACGGGCUGGCUUGAGUGCAGUAGGGGGGGCUGGAAUUCCUGGUGUAGCGGUGGAAUGCGCAGAUAUCAGGAGGAAUACCGGUGGCGAAGGCGGGUCUCUGGGCUGUUACUGACGCUGAGGAGCGAAAGCGUGGGGAGCGAACAGG